AGACAAAUCACGAAGUCCUCACUUAGAAGGAAAGGAGCAGCUGGGAAACUUACUGGCACCCAGGUCCGUGCCCUCCUUGGAAGACUAUCAAUCUGAGCCAGUCACCUUAAGAAAGAGAGGGACUGCUGAAACAUCCCUAUUGUUUCUCUGGCCCAAAGGAUUUCAAAAAGAACAAUUUCCCCUCCAGCUACAAGAAGAUGCCUGAAGAAUCUGACAAAAGAACAGGAAAGAAAGGAAAGGACAAGCAAAGGGCAGGUGCUGCAGAGAGUUGCUGGCAAUGGGGCAGGAAGGGACAGACAGCUGACCAGAGGUCUAGGGGCUGUCCUCUGGGAAUGUGGAGCUGGACCUGCAGCCCACUCGUGGCAAAAGCAGAGCGCCCAAACAUCGGUAACAUCCUUCUUCCCAAGUGGUGUAACAGGACUGUGCUGUGCUGCUCAAACAAAGAAUAGAUCAGACUGCAGAGCAGACCCAUCUGCGCCAAGCAUGAAAUCCUGUCUGCUGCAUGGGGACCCUGCCUGAGAAAGGCAUACAGAAAAUGCAGUGUGGGAGAACUGCGACCUAACGCACCCAUUGUGCAGGGCACUACUGCAGCAUUUCCCAGAAAAAAGCCCGAUCCAACCUUUAAAACAUGUGGAGCUGUAUUAUAAUAAGCUGCUGGCAAGUGCAAGCCCUGAACCUUACUGGUGUUUGUGUCUGUGUGAGUAUCUAUGACAACAAAUAAAUCUGCUGUUCGGGAAGUGUCCUUGAGAAUAUCAGUGGGAGGUUGUUGCAUUAUGUCGGCAACACUUAGCGUUUUCAAGCUUUUAAUUCCCAAGUAUUACUGUAGAUGGCUAUGAGUACUUUAGGAAAAUGAGCUAAUUAGUUACAAGAUUUUUCUUCUUGCUUGCGAAUGGGACCAACUCAGAGUAAUGCUAUUUACUUUAGCCGAUUCCAGACUUUUGGACGUAUAAAGGAAUGAAUAUUUUUAGGAGCUUUAAUGCUAAGCAGGAGGUUUAAACUCAAGGUCAAGGGACCCUGGAUAUCUGUGAGUCCUUUUCAGCCAUUUAAGGAAGGUAGGAAGGGAAGCUAACCUAAAUUUGUUAUAAUGGUCAGUUUUGCCUCUGUAGUGCUACAAAUCCAAAAGUAGAAAGUGAGUGAAGCCAGGAAUUCAGCCUGCAGAAUAGUGCUCGGGAUGGGUGUAUCUGUAAGAACUGGGCUGGAAGUGACUGGCAUGACAGGUCAAAGAGCAGCCUGCCCUUGGACUAACGCUGUGGUUUUGGUCCUUCAGUUUUCCCUUGCUGAACAGCAGCUGUGACACCCAGUACACAUACUGAGACUUACUGCUUUGGUCUUGCUCGCUGCAUCCAUUUUGCUCCUGUUUGUCACUGUGCUGUUAGGAACGAGAGCAAGAAUACAAGAGGCAUCCCCUGCCUGUGAGCAGAACCAUACCCCUGGCUGCCUCCAGACUGUGCUGCCUAACCUCCUGAAACUGGGCCUGUAAUUGGG